GCCUGGGUGGCUCAGUUGGUUAAGCGUCUGACUUCAGCUCAGGUCAUGAUCUCAUGGUUCGUGAGUUCGAACCCCAUGUUGGGCU
rnacentral:tRNA from 1 species